CAGCAAAAAUGCUGCGCGGCAUUAAUUUAUGAAAAAUGCGACAGUAUUUUUGACAAUUUGACGAAAACUGUGGACUAAUUUCGUAAUUUCUGAAUUGUUAGUAUAAAUACCCCUCCGAACGAGAUUUCCUCAUUUUUUUCGUUCUCUUCUCUCUCCUCUUCGUGAGCUUCUCACUCCACUCCCGAAAAAACCUUUUGCUAGGGUUUCGUCCGCCCCUCCGCCGUCGCCUUUGCGCGAUUUUUCUCCACCGCCACCGUGAAGAAGACCUUGAUAACGGCGCGGUGAAGAUCUGGGAGAGGCACCUUUCAGCCAAGGUGAGGAGGACGGUCGAAGGUCUCUGCUACCAUCGUGAGGAGGACGGUCAGAGAGCGUCUCCUCGCUGCAGCAGUCUUGGGUUGUUGCGAAGAGAAAAAAAACUUAGGUAGGCGGACACCAGCUGGCUAAAGGGUCUUGGGUUGUCGUAAGAGAAAAAACGACCACCAGAGUCUCGGCCAAAAAUUUUUAAGUGACUAGCGCACUCCAUCCCGUGAGAUCGAAGAGACGGUUAUCUUGAGACCAACGGAAGAAGGGAUCAGAAUUUGUUCCAAGAUCUCCAUUGCAGUUAUAGAGGGAAAGGGAUGGGGCUCAAGGCCACUACCCAACAGAUGUUUAAUACUGGCAGACAAGUAAGUAGCACGAGGCUGAGGCUAAAGGAAGACGAUGCUCUUGGAGAAAAUGUGGUAGAAAUAGAGUGAGUGUCAAAUAUUAAAGAGAGUUUCGGUCUAAGUCGACGCUCCCUCCUGAGAGAAAGUUACUCCAGUAAAUUGGUGUCCGACUAUUUACCCCAGUAAAUUGUUGGGCGUCCUCCUGCCCAUCUCCAGCCCAUUACGUGAAGCCCAUUUACCAUAGCAACCCAAAAACGCACAGUGGCAUCGAGGUAUGCAUCUCUCUUUCUCUCCCGCUCAGCUGAUUGGGUAUGCAAGCGUAUAGAAGGCACAUCCCAUGUUUGAUUAUUAUAGAUUCUACUCUUUUAGAUCGCCAAAGGUAGACAUGCAAGUGUAUAAAAGAUAUGUCACAUGUUUGAUUCUUGUGGAUUAUACUCUCUUAAAUCGCCAAAAGUGGUGGGAUUGCGACAUUCAAAUUGAUGAGUGUACCAUACUUUACCUAAGUCCCAAUGCAGCAUAAGACUUGGGAGACCGGGGCAAUGGAGGGAACGUCGGGUCUUGUUGAGGAGGUGGGUUGCAUAAUUUUGUGUUGUCAAUAUGCAUCACGCCUGUUUUGUAAUGAAACAAUAAAUAAAAAUAAAAAUUAAAGUUAACCUUAUAUACUUGUUAAA